UGGUUCCUGUUUGCUGUUUGCAGCCACCAUGAACUGCAGCCCCUCCAUGCCCGCCUGCCUUGGAGCCAACUGAGUGUGGACUGAAACCUCCAAAAACUGCUGAGGGAGACCAUUACCAGAUGGAAACUCAGGAUCUAUAUGAGAAAGGAUGCGUGCCAGAAAUCAUAAAUAUUGCUAGAGAUUGAACCUAGUAGUGCCGAGCUACAACCUGAACCCUUUUUACAUUUUUCAAAUUUUGACACAGAGCCUUCCAAUGUUAUUAAGUUGCCCAGGCUGCUUCUGAACUUGUGAUCCUUCUGCCUUAGCCUCCCAGAGUGCAGGAAAUAGACACAUGCAUCACCAUACGUCACCAGGCUUGGCUUCAAAGUCUAAAACUUCUUAAACCAGGGGUGGUAGUGCAUGCCUGUAAUCCCAGCACUUGAGAGGCUGAGGCAGGAGGAUUAUAAUGAGUUUGAGGCCAGCCUGGCCACACGGUGAUUUUGGGGGCAGCCUGAACUGCAUGGCAAGACCCUGAGUUUAAAAAAUCAAAGAAGAAAAAGAAAAGAAAAGAAAAGAUAAAGAAAGAAAGAAAGAAAACAACAAUGACAAACACAAAGUCUGACCUGAUGCUCAAAACUUUUCCAUUUUGGUAACUUGAACAACUAUUUCUAAGAUGACAAUAUGCAAUCUAUUAACUAGUGAUUUCUUACCAUUUUUUUUUUGUAAUUCUGUAUUACUUGUACCUUUAUACUGUUUUUGUUUUGUUUUUCUUUUUUUCCUUUUAAAUAAAAAAUUAAAAAAAAAAAAAAACUGUCGAGAUUCUCCCUGUACCCCUCAUGUCUGUGUCUGUGGCUUUGUG